ACUUCACUCAGUAUGAGAGUCACUAGUUCCAUCUAUGUUGCUGCAAAUGGCAUUAUUUUGUUCUUUCAUAUAGUUUACUAGUAUUCCAUUGUGUAUAUAUACCACAUCUUCCUUAUCCAAUCAUCUGUUGAUGGUCAUUUGGGUUGUUUCCAUGUCUUGACAAUUGUGAAUGGUGCUGCAAUGAACAUGUGGGUGCAUGUGUUUUUUUUAAGGAAAGUUUGUCUGGAUAUAUGCCCAAGAGUGGGAUUGCUGGGUCAUAUGGUAGUUCUAUGUAUAAUUUUCUAAAGUACCUCCAUACUGUUCUCCAUAGUGGUUGUACCAGCUUAGCUUCCCACCAACAGUGCAGGAGAGUUCCCAUUUCUCCACACCUGUUCCAGCAUUUGUAAUUUGUGGACUUAUGAAUGAAGGCCAUUCUGACUGGUGUGAGGUGGUAACUCAUGGUAGUUUUGAUUUGCAUUUCCCUAAUAAUCAGGGAUGUUGAGCAUUUUUUCAUGUGCUUGUUGGCCAUCUGUAUAUCUUCCUUGGAGAAAUGUCUGUUCAGGUUUUUUGUCCAUUUUUUCCGUUGGGUUAUUGGCUUCUUUGCUGUUGAGUUGUAUAAGUUGCUUGUAUAUUUUAGAGAUUAAGCCAUUGUCGGUUGCAUCAUUUGAAAAUGUUUUCUCCCAUUCUGUAAGGUGUCUUUUUGGUUUCCUUUGCUGUGAAAAAGCUUGUCAGUUUAUUAGGUCCCAUUCAUUUAUUUUUGCUUUUAUUUCUGUUGCUUUGGGAGACUGACCUGAGAAAAUAUUCAUAAGGUUGAUGUCAGAGAAUGUUUUGCCUAUGUUAUCUUCCAGGAGUUUGAUGGUGUCUUGUCUUAUAUUUAAGUCUUUCAGCCAUUUUGAGUUUAUUUUCAUGCAUGGUGGGAGGGUGUGUUCUAGUUUCCUUGAUUUGCAUGCUGCUGUCCAGGUUUCCUAGCAAUACUUGCUGAAAAGUCUGUCUUUUUCCCAUUUGAUAUUCUUGCCUUCUUUGUCAAAGAUUAAUUGACCAUAGGUGUCUGAGUAUAUUUCUGGGUUCUCUGUUCUGUUCCAUUGAUCUGUCUGAAUGUUUUUUUACCAGUACCACACUAUCUUGGUGACUGUGGCUUUGUAAUAUUGCCUCAAGUCUGGGAGAGUUAUGCCUCCUGCUUGAUUUUUGCUCCUCAGGAUUGCUUUGGCAAUUCUGGGUCUUUUGUGCUUCCAUAUAAAUGUUUGGAUUGUUUGUUGUAGUUCUGCAAAAAAGGUCAUGGGGAAUUUGAUAAGGAUUGCAUUGAAUCUAUAGAUUGCUUUGGGGAGUAUGGCCAUUUUUGCAAUAUUAAUUUUUCCAACCCAGAAACAUAGAGUAUCUUUCCAUUUCUUUAUACCUUCUUUAAUUUCUUUGAUUAAUGUUUUAUAGUUUUCAGCAUAUAAGUCUUUCACCUACUUGGUCAGGUUUAUACCCAGGUAUUUGAUUUUAUGGGGGGCAAUUUUAAAAGGUAUUGUAUUUUUGUAUUCCUUUUCUAAUAUUUCAUUGCUGGUAUACAGAAAUGCAACUGAUUUCUGAAUGUUAAUCUUAUAUCCUGUUACUUUGCUAAAUUUGUUGAUCAGUUCAAAUGGUUUUUAGGUUGAGUUAUUAGGGUUUUCUAUAUACAGUAUCCUGUCAUCUACAUACAGUGACCAUUUUAUCUCUUCUCUUCCUAUUUGGAUACCUUUUAUUUCUUUUGUUUUUCUUACUGCUGUAGCUAGGACUUCCAAUACUAUGUUGAAUAACAGUGGUGAGAGUGGGCAUCACUGUCCUUUCCAGAUUUUAGUGGGAAGGCUUUCAAAUUUUCUCCAUUGAGUAUUGUAUUUGCUGUGGGUUUGUCAUAAAUGGCUUUGAUUAUGCUGAAGAAUGUUCCCUCUAUACCCACUUUGGUAAGAGUUUUUAUUAUGAAUGGAUGUUGGACUUUGUCAAAUGCUUUUUCUGCAUCUAUUGAUAUGAUUAUGGGUUUUUGCCUUUUCUUUUGUUACUGUGGUGUAUAAUGUUGAUUGAUUUGUGUAUGUUGAACCAUCCUUGUGAAACUGGGAUGAAUCCCACCUAGUCGUGUGUAUACUAUAUUUUUGAUAUGAUGUUGUAUUCAUUUGGCUAAGGUUUUGUUGAGAAUUUUUGUGUCUAUAUUCAUCAAAUAUAUUGGCUGAUAUUUUCUUUUUUGGUGGUAUCUCUGUCUGGUUUUGGAAUGAGGGUGAUGGUGGCCUCAUAGAAUGUCUUUGGGAGUAUUCCUUCUUCUUCAACCUUUUGAAAGAGUUUAAGGAGGAUGGGCACCAAUUCCUCUUUAUAUGUUUGAUAGAAUUCACCUGUGAAGCCAUCUGGUCCUGGACUUUUAUUUGUAGGGAGUGAUUUUAUGACCUCUUCAAUUUCAUUUCUAGUGAUCGGUCUGUUCAGUUGGUCUGUUUCUGCUUGAUUCAGUUUUGGCAGGCUGUAAGAUUCUAGAAAAUUGUCCAUUUCUUCCAGAUUGUCAAACUUGUUGCCAUAUAGUUGUUCAUAGUAUUCUCUUAUGGUUUUUUGUAUUUCUGCUGUAUCCGUUGUGAUUUCUCCUUUUUCAUUUAUAAUUUUGGUUAUUUGGGUUCUUUCUCUCCUCUUUUUAGUGAGUCUGGCCAGGGGUUUGUCAAUUUUGUUCACCUUUUCAAAGAACCAGCUCUUGGUUUUAUUAAUUUUCUCUAUUGUUUUUUGAGUCUCUAUUUUAUUGAUUUCUUCUUUGAUCUUUAUAAUUUCCUUCCUUCUGCUGACUUUAGGACUUUUUUGUUCUUCUUUUUCUAAUUCGUUUAGGUGGAGGGUUAAGUUGUCAAUUUGGGAUCUUUCUUCUUUUUUGAGAAAGGCCUGUAUUGCUAUAAAUUUCCCUCUGAGCACUGCUUUCGCAGCAUCCCAUAGAUUUUGAGAGGUUGUGUCUUCAUUAUCAUUUGUUUCAAGGUAGUUUUUAAUUUCCUUCUUGAUUUCCUCAUUGACCCAUUGGUUUUUUAGUAGCAUGUUGUUUAGUCUCCAU
rnacentral:lncRNA from 1 species